UGUUGGCUUAGAACCCUCCGUCUCUUUUUCAUCUGUGUAUUUCAGUGCUCUUUUAGCUAGAGGCCUGGUGACUGGUCUAUCUGAAUUGCUCGUGGGAUUCUGAACGUACUUGCAAGUGGGCAAAUAGAGGUCAUCGGAAUCAUCUCCUGAACCACUUGAUUCACGGAGGCUCACUUCAGACUCGUUGUUUUCUUCUCUAUUAGAGUCAUUGCUCAUUUUUUGUCGGAAAGGAGUAAGAUGAACACCCUCUUCCAAAUUAAAAUUAAACGUUCCUGGCUGAAUCAGCUUUGGUGAUAAGUUAACUUGGUCCUUGCUCCACUGACAAGCAUUGUGUUGUACAUUUUCAGGUAUGUGCAUGUUUACUAGUGGGUCUAAAAAUCCAACUCUUUCGAAUUCAAAAGACUUCCCUGCCAAAUGACUGGUUUCAAAAUCAUCCAAGCUAUCAAACUGACAUAUACUGUUACAAUGUUUCUUUAAACUGCUACGAACAGAUACAGUUCUAGGUAAGACAUUAUCAGUAGACUUAGCUUCACCUGAAUCAAAAUCAACUCCCAGUGUGUCUUGAGGAAUAGUAGGUAUCUGAUUGUGAUAGGUAGUUCAGAGCUUCCUGUUUCUUUAGUCUGACAGCUUCAAAUGUCCCGGGUUGUGCUCAAAGCCUCCCUCUUGUGAGAAGAAUCUCUUUGGUUGCCUGUUAAAGCGGUCAGCCAGCUUGCAACACGGAAGCAGCUUUUAGAGGAAUUAAAACCAAAACAAGGAGCAAAUUCUGGAUUAAAAAGGGGAUGAAGAAACAUCCUGAGAAGGUUGACAUGCUGAAUGCCUUAAAGAACUUCAAUUGAGAUGCCAGAUGAAAGUGUAACUAGAAUUUCUAUGGCUUA
rnacentral:lncRNA from 1 species